UCCGUAGGUGGAUCAAUCAGUCAGAGGUGAAAUCCUGCAGCUUAACUGUAGAACUGCCUUUGAUACUGUUGAUCUUGAGUCAUUAUGAAGUGGUUAGAAUGUGUAGUGUAGCGGUGAAAUGCAUAGAUAUUACACAGAAUACCGAUUGCGAAGGCAGAUCACUAAUAAUGUACUGACCCUGAGGGACGAAAGCGUGGGGAGCGAACAGGAUUAGAUACCCUGGUAGUCC
rnacentral:rRNA from 1 species